AUUGAACGCUGGCGGCAGGCCUAACACAUGCAAGUCGAGCGGAUGAAGGGAGCUUGCUCCUGGAUUCAGCGGCGGACGGGUGAGUAAUGCCUAGGAAUCUGCCUGGUAGUGGGGGAUAACGUCCGGAAACGGGCGCUAAUACCGCAUACGUCCUGAGGGAGAAAGUGGGGGAUCUUCGGACCUCACGCUAUCAGAUGAGCCUAGGUCGGAUUAGCUAGUUGGUGGGGUAAGGGCCUACCAAGGCGACGAUCCGUAACUGGUCUGAGAGGAUGAUCAGUCACACUGGAACUGAGACACGGUCCAGACUCCUACGGGAGGCAGCAGUGGGGAAUAUUGGACAAUGGGCGUAAGCCUGAUCCAGCCAUGCCGCGUGUGUGAAGAAGGUCUUCGGAUUGUAAAGCACUUUAAGUUGGGAGGAAGGGCAGUAAGUUAAUACCUUGCUGUUUUGACGUUACCAACAGAAUAAGCACCGGCUAACUUCGUG
rnacentral:rRNA from 1 species